rnacentral:lncRNA from 1 species
CUAUAAUACAGCAACCUUAUGGCUAUACACUUAGUUUUCAAAAGCUAAAUAUGAAGUAUGAAAUUGGAUACAAGUUGAGGGCUAGGCAAGCUUGAAGAGUGCACACUGGUGACAGUCAUUUGGCAGUGUUCUUUGGUACACACAUCCAGAUGAGGUUUGUUCGAAGCACAUCAGCCAUGACACUUUAACUGUCAAGAAGAGGCCACACGCAGAGGUCCUUCUCUUGCCAUGUGCUUCUGUGUCUUGUCAGUAUCAUGUCCAUAAGUAAAUAAAAAAAAGCAAACCCCAAACAAACAACUUUUUUUGUUCUUUAAAGGAAUCAGUACAGUGGAUAGAGCUGGAUUAUGAAGUCCCAGCAAUUUUUUUCCUGAAGCCCUUCCCAUCUCAGAGAUGUUACUCUGUUUUCAUGUUCUGCUUGUGGUUUUCUGUCUGCAGUUUAACUGUUCAUUUUUCAUCUGGUGAAUGCUUCCAGUGCAAGCCACUGACUGGACUUGCAGAUCUUGCUGUUUCUAAGCCAUGGAGAAGAGGGGGAAAUGAUGAAGCGCAAGGCAAAGGUAGCUUUACAAGGAACAGAGGAAAUUAAAUAUGGAGCUUGUCCUCCAUCCCU